AUUGAACGCUGGCGGCAGGCCUAACACAUGCAAGUCGAACGAGUGGCGGACGGGUGAGUAAUGUCUGGGAAUCUGCCUGAUGGAGGGGGAUAACUACUGGAAACGGUAGCUAAUACCGCAUACCAUCAGAUGUGCCCAGAUGGGAUUAGCUUGGUGGUGGGGUAACGGCUCACCACGGUGACGAACCCUAGCUGGUCUGAGCGGAUGACCAGCCACACUGGAACUGAGACACGGUCCAUGAUCCUACGGGAGGCAGCAGUGGGGAAUAUUGCACAAUGGGCGCAAGCCUGAUGCAGCCAUGCCGCGUGUAUGAAGAAGGCCUGCGGGUUGUAAAGUACUUUCAGCGGGGAGGCGUUACCCACAGAAGAAGCACCGGCUAACUCCGUGCCAGCAGCCGCGGUAAUUC
rnacentral:rRNA from 1 species